rnacentral:lncRNA from 10 species
GGAAAAUUUAGGCUCAGGAAGGUUAAAAUCUUUCUUGGAGUUACACAUCUAAGAGAGCUGCAGAGCUGACACUUGUACCCAGGUUUUCUGACUGCAAAUCCAGUUUCUUUCUAUUGCGUUCUUCCCCUUUCCCUGCCUCAAGCAGAAACAGGUUUUUUAUUUUCAACCUUUAUGUAUACAGUAUGUUAUGUUACAUCUACAGCUAAGUUUCUUUUUAGAAGAAUGUGAGCCCUUCUAGCUUUGGUUUAGAGUGAUUCUAGAAGCCAAUUUCCUUGGCUUAGUGAUUCUAUGCACCUUUCCUAAACUUAGCUUUCUAAGGAAAUGAAGUGUACGAGUGAGAAUGAAUUCACAAUUUCGACAUGUAGGUAGCAUCCUAAAGUGAAAAGAGGAGGAAAUUUGUGGUCAAAGCACUCUCCCCACCACUUAGAAACUUACUGACUGUGGGCAGCUUCCUCCUCCAAGUUUCCUUCCUGAUUUACAAGACCGUGGUGUGGUCAGGAUUAAACUUGAAUACAUGUAAGGAAGCCUGAAAGUGUCUAACACAUAGCGAGUAUUCAAAUGCCACCUUCUAUUUGAUCCUUCCCCUCCAGUUCCUUAAGUUUUGGAAUCUAGGUUUCUCAGUUCCAAAUGGAUUGACAUUUGCAUAUCCCCAUUGCACAAUGGAUCAAAUAAACUUUAUGUUAUCAUUUCUCCAACAUAGUGCCAGUAAGCAAAUCCUUUUUAAUAACAACAGUAUGUUGAGAAACAUAUCACCAAAUAAUAUUUAACUUUGUAGCUUUGAUAAGUUCUUUAGGUUUUGGUUUUGGUUUUGUUUUCUGAGACAGGGUCUUGAUCUGUCACCCAGACUGGAGUGCAAUGGUUCAAUUUUAGCUCACUGCAACCUGUAACUCCUGAGCUCAAGUGAUCCUCCCACCUCAGCCUCUCAAGUAGCUGGGACUACAGGUGUGCUCCACCAUGCCCAGCGAUUUUUUUUUUUUUUUUUUUUUUUUUUUUUGGUAGGGACAAGGUCUCGCUAUGUUGCCCAGGCUGGUCUUCAAUUCCUGGCCUUAAGUGAUCCUCCUGCCUCGGCCUCCCAAAGUGCUGGAAUUACAGGCAUGAGCCACCACCCAUAACUUUAUGUUUGUUUUUUUGAUGCAGUAUAAGUUCAGCUUGCUUCUUAUGCAGCCAUACCAUUUCAUGUUAACUCUGAUUUUUAGCAGCUUAUUACAUUAGUGUUUUAUUAUUAAUAUAAUUUUACAGAAAUUUACUAAACCAUGACUCUGUAGAGUUUUAAUAAUACUACCUCCAAACAUCAUUGCAAACAUCUAGAAGAAUGAACAAAAAUGAUCUUAGAUCGACAGUAUAUCUGUUUGUCUUAGUUUCUACACAGGAUGUUCAGACAUAUUCCAUUUCUUUAAAAAAAAAAUAUAUAUAUAUAUAUAUAUAUAUAGGCCUGGCACGGUGGCUCAUGACUGUAAUCCCAGCACUUUGGGAGGCUUAGGCAGGCAAAUCACCUGAGGUCAGGAGUUUGAGACUGGCCUGACCAACAUGGUGAAACCUCGUCUCUAUUAAAAUUACAAAAAUUAGCCGGGCGUGGUGGCACAUGCCUGUAAUCCCAGCUACUCGGGAGGCUGAGGCAGGAGAAUCACUUGAACCUGGGAGGCAGAGGUUGCAGUGAGUUGAGAUCACGCCAUUGCACUCCAGCCUUGGUGACAAGAGUGAAACUCCGUCUCAAAAAAAAAAAAAAUAUGUAUAUAUAUAUAUAUAUAUAUAUAUAUAUAUAUAUAUAUAUAUAUAUAAAAUCCCACCAAAAGUCUGCAGAGUGACCAAAUUAGACGGCUCUGGUUUCAGAUUAAAUUCUAAAUGUGAGAAACCACAUAGCUCCCAUGAUCCAUCCAAUAAUUCCUCACGUCCUCUUCACUCUUUACUCCAUGCAUAAAACAGAAUUUUUUUUUCUCAUCCUGGGUAUGAAGCAAUUAAUAAUUUACGGAUUUAGCCUAUUUGGAUUCAAUCCCUUCAAACUCCAUACUACAUCCAAGGUGGAAGUGACUUAAACUCUGAUAUCAAUCAUCAGGCUUGUAAUAUAGGCUUUGUUAAUGGCAGGAGAGUCUAAUAAAACUUUCUGUUCCUUAUCCUUCAUUUAAAUGAAAAACUUUUUAUUGAAAACAAUCAUAACUCUAGCUCAUCAUAAAUAUAAUUCAUGAGGACAUUUUAUUAUUUUUAUAUUAAAGAAAUAAUAUUAUAGAUGUAAACUUUGCACCUUUCUAAUUAUUAUCAUGAGUUAAGCUAAUACUUGUCUUCUGGUCCCUAGAUGAUGAUUCUUUUUUGCCUUACUGGAGGAGCCCUUGUCUUGAAGUGAGUUGCUUCAACAGCAGAGGACUUCUAGUUUCUCCCAGUUGAGCCUAAAGUGAACUUUUCAUCUUCUUCAGAGGAAGGGGCUUCCUUGAUUUGUACUUUUGUGGCUCCUCAGAUAACACAGACAAUUUUAUCUUGGAUCCCAGGUUCUCUUCACCAUUAAGAAUAAGAAAGAGAGAAAAUGCUGUGCAUGACAGCCACCUACUCCAAACUACCCAACCCCCUGUAACCAGGUACCUUCCAACAACGAGAUGAUUCUGCCCUCACUCAAGAGUCUCCCCCACAAAGAUUCCAUUCUCCCUUUACUUUUUAUUUUUUAUUUUUUUGCAAAACAAAGGCCUCCUUUAGUACCUCCUUAGUUUAUAACCCUUAUCUUCCCAGCUCUUCCCUUCACUGAUACCUCUGAUUUCAAAAGUUCUGAAGUCGGAAGACCACACAAUUUCAGACUGUGAACAGAAAUUCAGUCAGAAAUUAUUGGAGUUAGAAAGAAUUUAGAGAAAUUGUAUUGAACUAGAAAGUCCUCUUUGAUUAGUGGUGGCCCUUUAGAAAGUUCUAGGGCAGAGUCCCAUGGUGUUUCAUCUUUUCCAUGAUUUGCUUGACCAAAAACUUUUCUUUCACAACAUGAAAAUAUGCUAAUCCACCACACAUUUUGGAUUCUGCUCUGUUUGCCUGAGGUGUUAGAUCUCUAGCCAGGACUGUGAAGGGAAGGAACUUGAAUCCUUCCUAUUGAGCUAUUAAUGCAGAGUCAGUGAGAUGAAGGGUUCCACUCGGGGUCAAAAUCAUGUCAGUUACCAAGCAAAGGAGCAAGUAAGGGGAAACAUCUCCUCAUCUGGUUAGUGGAGCCACAUUUCACCCACUGAUCAAGCCAGACCUGAGCAAUAGUCUAGAUUUCUCCCUCCACAUCUAAUUGGUGACAAUGGUGAUUGUACCACUGACAGGUCACACAAGUCCACACCCUCCUUCACAGCCUCACUGCUUCGGCUCUUGUUUAUGCUCUUAUCAGCAUCUGUCACUAGGAUCCAUUUGUCUCCUGACUCAUCUACUUCCUUUCACUCCCCUGGGCCAUCCUUCACAUCAUGCUAGAAGACUGUGUCUAACUUGCAGAACUUAUUGUGUCAAUCUCCUGGUUACGGCCCCUCCAUGGCUCCCCACCUGACAUAGGAGGCCCUUCACAAUCUGGCUUCUGUCACUCAUAACUUGUCUCCAGCCUUCAUUCUUCAGUCUGAUUUUAUGGUUUUCUAGUUCCCCAAUACACCACACCAGUGUUUAUGAAACCCUAGUCAUUGGCCUACGAACUUUAUGAUUAUUGACAUAUUCAUGUACCACCUGUAUUAUUUUUUGCAUAGUGUUUAUUUUUAAUUGACUACAUUUUUAACUACAAUAAAGUAAUUUCAACUAAAACUUGGUAUCAAUGCUGCGAAUGGAAAACUGCUAUCAGUUGCCAUAAUAAAAAUGAAACUGUAAAAAUAAAUAUAAUAAAAAUGAAACAAAGUUAUUAAGUUCUAACCAGAUACUGUUGCCUGCUCAAAGGUCUGAGCAAUAAGCCUGUUCUCUGUUUGACACAAAGGGAGUUCAGAAAGUGUU